CAUGGYGGAGGAGGUGGGCCCCUGGCGGUUGCCAGGUGCGAUGCCUCCACGCUUCCACCCUUGUCUAUUUGCAUCCUUCGUCGUUCCUUCGGCGGGUCCUGACCCGCCGGUGGCAACCUUACAAACCUCUUGCAGUAGCAUCCAAAUCUUCUGAUAAAGUCUUAAAUUCGUAACAACUUUCAACAAUGGAUCUCUUGGUUCUGGCAUCGAUGAAGAACGCAGCGAAAUGCGAUAAGUAGUGUGAAUUGCAGAAUUCAGUGAAUCAUCGAAUCUUUGAACGCACAUUGCGCCCCUUGGUAUUCCAUGGGGUAUGCCUGUUCGAGCGUCAUUUACACCCUCAAGCUCUGYUUGGUGUUGGGCGUCUGUCCCGUAGUGGACUCGCCCCAAAGGCAUUGGCARCGGUCCUGCCGGACCUCCUAAUCGCGCAGCACUGUUCGCGCCUCCUGGAGCSCGUGCGGAUUCGGCGUCCAUCAAGCCCAGAUCUUUUCAA
rnacentral:sRNA from 1 species